AAGGAGGCAGAACUCUUUAGUCAAUGACUUGAGCUAUACACAUUGCUUAGACACACCAUGUGUUAAUCUAAGCCAGAGAGCAUCUGAUGCUCUGAGAAGAACCUGGAAAGCUACCAUGAAGGUCCCAGACCUCUCUCUGCACCAUCUGUGCCUCUUGAUGACUUGAAUCCUUGAAAUGACCAGUAAAGCUUGAUACUGAGUAGAAUUCCUGGUUCAUAUGGGACUGGGUUGACAAUCUCACCCUCUGUAUCAUUGCAGUAAUUUCUGGUAAAUUCUUCUGGAUGUUAACUGUCCUCAAAGUGUACAAGAAAUCCUGCUGGGACACAGAGACCAGGGCAUCAAAUCUCUUUAGAGCUGCCUGAUGCAAGGAACUACUGGUGUCUGACCAUACCAGGGAAGAGAACUCACAAAGAUCUACAACUGAGCUUGGUGUUUACUCUGGAUUUUGUGGAAUCAAAAUAUCAACUGGUGAACGCCAGAAAGAUACUUUUAAAAGGGUCUCUAGGUAAUUCUGAUGCCUCAGAAGCCUUGGAAACUACUCUUCCAGCAGCUCAGUAAAAUACCAU